CCAGCGCCGAGCCGCCCUCCUCCAGCAGCUCGUCCCGCGGCUCCGCCGGGGGCUGCUGGGGGGGCCGCCGCUUUCCCCUCCUUCGCCGCAGGGCCAGCAGCGCGUACUGCACCAGACAUCUGUCUGCACUGUGGAAACCACUGAGGUAAGCAGGCAUCUGCCUUGGCAGUUCCAGCGGGGGACAAAGACUGAAGAGUCUGGAGAUGCACCUCACCUCUCUGCUCCUAUGUGUCACCUGAGCAGAAAACGUUGUGGUUAGUGGGAAAAGUACUGAAGAGAACGGCUGUUAGAUGAACGUCUAAAUAUUUGACAAAGUAAAAUCUAAAGUAUUUGACCAAACAAGGAAUUUUCUCCAGACUCAGAAAUUGCCAUGAGCCAACUUUAAACACAUUCACACUUUUAUGUACAGGCAUACGUAUAGAGAGAGGUCUCCUUUGUGCUGCGUUCCUGUGGGGCUCUCCUGCUGGAUGUAGUGUUGCAGUCAUUAGUUUCUGGCUCCUCCUAGUGCCCGUACAGAGUUAGAGGCAUGUAAUAGAUUCUAAGAUUGUUACUGCAAAACUAAGGCUUGAUGUAAUUCUCCUGAGCCUCCUGGGCUGUAUUAUACUUCCCAGAAAUCUAUCUCAUUUCAAAAGUCAGCAUUUCUAUCAGUGAUUAUUCCCCCAAACUUAUUUACGGUGUGACUCUGUAAUGGUGAGUUUGCUGUUUUUCACUAUUUAAUAUUCUUUAAAAAAAAAAGCAUUUGCACGCUUCAGUUGUGUUUCUUUUGACGAUGAAACAAGUGGCUUGAAUGAAAGCUAACAAAGCUGAGUUUCUUUCUGGUGGCAUUUAGCUGCAGCUGACUGAUGUGAAAAGGAGGCAGCAGCAAACAGCAGCUGCCUUGCUAUUGCUGCGCUGGGCUGCCAUGCAAAGAAGAAGGCUUUACCUUUCCCCUUACCAGCAGAGCAGUGGUAACUUUUGGGAACUCUUUCUUCCAGAACCUCUGUGAUAGACUUUAUAACUUAAAGGAAUGAAUGCAGUUUCUCAUCAACCAAAAAGGCUUAGGAGGUGUCAAACCCUAGGGACUCCUAGCUGUUCAUUAACGAAGGAAGGAAAAUGCAGGAGCCAAGGAGCGAUAUUAAUUGCAAAUGACACCUUAGAACUGAGGCCAAUUUCUUGUUCUUAGUAGGGCUACUUCUGGAUCUUAUGAUCUGCUGUUGUCAUCCUUCUCUCUCCCACCUCUUCCUGCUCACUGCCUCUUGUUCCUACAGGCACACACUGGUGGUGCCUGCAAACCUCAGCACAGUCUCCUCCUUCCAGAAGAAGCAUCUCUGGAUGCUAGUAAUCCCACCAGGCCACACUGCCUCAUCGCUGCUUCAUAUUAAACUUCAUUGGCUUCAAGCAGCCUUCAGUUGUGUAUGGUAUGUUGCUAGUUAUGAGCCUGUGCCCUCGAGUAUCAGCUUAAACCAAUGUAUGCAGCCGAGGCUUCAUGACUUGAAGAGCUAUACCCAUCCUAGGUUCUGAAUGCCACAGCAUUAAAAUAUAGUUGAGUUGUAUUAAAAUUGCAGAGACAACAUCAAAGAAAGAAUCUGGCUUUGCUUUCCAUGUACUCCUUCAACACAUACAAACAGAAGAGUUUGGUGUACUGUUUCAUUGCAGCCAACACCUUGAAAUUUUCUGUUGCCAGAGUAUUUCAGAACUGGAAGUAGAAACAUUAUCCAUGUGGGUCUAAGAGCAGAUAUCUUCCAUGCAACAUUUAAUCAGAUUUUAGUCCACUCUGUACAAGUAACAGAGGGGGAACAGUGUGUAGAUCUUGACUGGUUCCAGAUAAACCCUGGAGGUUAGUUCCUUAUGCAGAAAGAAGAGGGAGCCAAGCACCCAGCAACUCACCCCUCUCUGAAUGGGUCAGACAGCAGCUCCCCCCAGUCUGUUUCCACAGCUCGCUUACUUUCUGACAAACAGGAUGGUGCUCCAUGGAGGAACAGGCUGUCAGCUCUUUGCCUCUCUUUUCACAGGUUUAAGGAUUAUCAAAGGCAGAAAUCCUCUUUACCCUGGAGAGUCCUUUCAACCCUUCAUUCUGACCAUUUGAUAGACCCCAUACUUCAACUCUUCUGGAGCUUUUCACAACACCCAUUGACCCUCCCAAACCACAACAAGACCACAUGCACACAGGUGAAAAUAUCAGGUAAGUGCUAGGCACAUGCUCUCACUGCAAACCUCACCCUUCCCACCCACAAAGGAAAAACAUUAAAGAUUAACUCUUUUUGAGACUGUGGCUCUUCUUAUUAAAUGUGAUUUAAAUUCAUCAGUCCGUAAAUGGAAAAUGGUAAAGGGCAGAAGAUGUGGAAUAUAGAAAAUUCAGAAUACAGCGCAAAGAGUUUCCAAAGUCAGGUCUCAGCCACAUUGAAGAGAGGAACUCUGUGCCCCCAAAAUAUAAUUUUCUGGAUCCAAAUACUGCACUCUCAUCCACAGUUUUUUGGAGAAGGAAAUACAUGCAGGGAAACUGCUUUUGCUGAUAGCACUGUGAAAUACCAUAAAUAUUCCUGCCGGCGUAAGUUCAAACUCUGAACUCAGUUUUAGAUGAAAGAGACACUCAGUUGAUGUCACCUUGCUUCCUCAAAUCCUAUUUGAAUCACUGAUUGAGAAGGAAGCAGAACAUGAGCACCACUCAAGCACUUAGCAGACUUUCUAGAGCAGUUGGUUUCCUUGGAUUUUCAAGUCAAACAGCGCAGGGGCACUUCGUGAAACAAAGAGCCCUUAUUUCAGUAAUGUAAAAACUACCAUUCACUUUCAGCAAAUAGAUCAAAAAAAGCUCUUUUGCAAACAAAAUUCUCAUCCCACAGACACAACGGUAUGCACAAAAACGUCACAACUUGCCAAGAGAUUCCAGUAGAAAACACAGUAAUUCCAAAGAAAGAAAGUGUAAGUUUAUUGGACGCCAACAUUUCUUAGUCAAGAUCUAAGUAAAGAAAACAUACAGUAGAAAAAGUUGUACAAAGCAGCAAUGGAUUUACAUUGCGUUAAAGAAAAAGUUACCCUAAGCUAUUAAGUCUCUGUCCUAAAAAAGUAAAAACCCAUUCUUAAUUACAAUCCAAUACUGGUGUAUCGAAUUGAUAUACAACGACUGUAAGGUAUACAGGAUUAAAAAAACAGCUUCUUUUGCCUUACCUCUAUAACGCUUUAAAAUGACAAGUGAUUUUGUGUAACAAAUUGGAAAAUUCCAUAGCAAAUAUACUGGAUAAUUCCAAUUUCUAGAAACUGCAUUAAACUACUUCCCCGCACCCAAAUACUACAAGUGAUUCCAUUUUCCUGCUUUUUAAAAAGGGACACUGUCAAGAAUAAGCUUUAAAAUGCAUGUUUUAUAUGUAUUCUGCAAAAAAAAUUGGGUUUUUUUUCCCCUGCUUUUACAUGCACGCUUUAAUUAAACACACCACAGUAGUGAGAAGCGUGUAUCUUGAAAAGGUACCACAUAUCACUGACAGGAACAACAAAGGGAAAAUUCAUCAAGUCCUUUAUUCUGGGAUAGAGAAGAUGCAACACAACAGUGAGCUCCACCCACAGAAUUCAGAUCUAUUUUUUCCAGCACUUUUGCAACAAUUUAGGAAAAUGCCUUCCAUAGGUAUUUUCAUGCCCAACUAGCUCAAGUGUUAGGAGUCAAUUCAUGUUUUCUUUGAAUUUAUUCAUCUCAAGAAUUUUUAAUACAGCUAAGUAUAUUUAUAGCAUGCGCUCUUUCUCUUGAUAGUGUCCCUUUAUGUACAACAGUUAUAGUACAGUUUUUCCACGAGUUGUUUUAAAUAAACAAGAAUCAAUGACAUUAAAAAUACUAUCAGGCAGCGUUCAACCAAAAAAAUAAUAAUAAUAAUUAAAAAAGUUAACACUGAUUAAUCAACAGCAACAUUGAAAAAAUCCUAACCUUACUGUGAUUUUUCUCUAAAUCUUCUGGUAGGAAAAUGUAAACAAUUUCAUUGAACAGUAUAGGCACACGCCAGACCUACAGGCUCAUGCCAGAUAUCUGCACCCUCAUUGUUAGUGCCAAGAAGUUCAGCGUAAGUCUAUCCUUAUCCCAUGUGCGAAACUUCUAGUUUUAUCACUUGAAGUUUGGAACAAAAACAGAGUAUGUGUAACUUCAGACCAAACCCGCAAAUACUACUGGGGGGAGGGAGAAGGUAUUCUACUGGAUGUCACCUGAAUGGUUGAAUAAAUAGGAAAUGUAGGAAUGAGUCUCACAGCUGUGUGUUUUGGUUAAUGGAUAAGGCUAUAUCUCCAUUCUGAAAGACUUGAGAAGUCUAGCGUCACCCACUGCUUCAGAAGCUUAUCAGCUGUCAGGAUGUUUCUAUUCUCUUUAUGCAAAAUAAAAUGUAAUAAAGUACAAGAAGCAUCAUAGCGUCAUAGAAUGUCCGGAGUUGGAAGGGACUAUGAAGACCUGAUUUCAACCCCCAGCCAUGGUCAGGGACACUUCCCAUUAGACCGGGCUGCCCAAAGCCCCAUCCAGCUUGGCCCAGAACAGUGCCAGGGAUGGAGCAUCCACAGCUUCUCUGGGCAGCCUGUGCUAGUGCCUCACUGCCCUCUAAGUAAGAAAUUUUUCUUAAUAUCUAAUCUAAAUCAAUCAUCUUUUAGUUUAAGGCUUCUCCCCCUUCUCCCAUCGCUAUGCUGCCUCAUAAACAGUCCCCCUCCAACAUUCUUGUAGGUCCCCUUUAAGUAGUGGAAGGCUGCAGCGAGGUCUCCCUGGAGCCUUCUCUUCUUCAGAUGGAACAAGUCCACCACCUUCAGUUUGCCUUCACAGGAGAAGCACCCCAGCCCUCUAAUCAUCCAUGUGGCCUCCCCUGGACCUGCUCCAACAGCUCCAUGUGUCUUUUGUUCUGGGGGUCCCAGAGUUGAAUGCAGUACUGCAAGUGGGACCUCACAAGGGCAGAGUAAAGGGACACAAUCUCCUCCUUUGCCCUGCUGGUCAGCCAUCUUGUGAUGAAGCCCAAGAUGCAGUUGGCCUUCUGGGCUGUAAGUGCGCACUGCUGGCUCGUGUCAAGCUUUUCAUCAACUAGAACCCCCAAGUCCUUCUCAGAGCUGCUCUCAAUCCAGUCAUCACCCAGGUUAUACUGAAAUUGAGAACUGCCUUCACUCAAAUGCAGGACCUUGUUCUUGGCCUGUGGAACUUCAUGAGGGGGCCUACUCCUCAAGGACCCCCAGAUGGCAUCUCUUCCCUCUUAAAUUAUCAACAAAAUAAGAUGAGUAGCUUUGCAUCAUACACAAACUUGCAGAGGGUGCACUCAAUCCCACUAUCCCUGUGAAAUCUCAGUAUCCAUGAAGAUACUAAAUAGUGUUGGUCCCAAUACGGACCCUCAAAGGACACCACUUGUUACUGGCUUACACUUGGACAAUGAGCUGUUGACUGUAACUCUUUGCACAUGGCCAUCCAGGCGCUUCUUUACCCAUCAAACUGCCCAACCCUCACAUAUAUCCCUCUUCACUUUAGUGGCAAGAACACUGUGGGGGACCACAUCAAAGGUCUUACAGAAAUUCAGGUAGAUUAUUACUGGUUGCUGUCCUGCAUUUUUCUAAGACUGCAGAAUUAAACGUUAGGUGUACAUACAGUUUUUAUACAGAGGAAAACUCACUUUAACUUUUCAUUCUCGAGCAUAAAGAAUGAAGCCAUGGUCAUUUCUCACUUUCAGUGGGUGACUAUGGUCCCAAUUUAUCAAAAAACCUUUGCAUGUUUUUUAAAACAAAGUUAAGACCGAUCUCAUUGGAACUCAAUCACAUGCUCAGACCUUGCCAGCACAGUGCCUCAAAGGAAAAAUAAGUCCCAAACCAAAAUACAUUUCAUGGCUGAACCCUGCUUGUCUUAAAUGCAACAGUAUAGAUCACUGUACUUCCACUGAAGCAGUAUAGAUCUCUGAGAUUUAUCUGACAAACUAUAAAAAACAACCAACAAGGAAAGUAGUAAAAAUUCUAAUCUAUAUAUAUUAAAACAUCUGCAAAUUCCUGUCACAAAUUUAAAGGAAAAAAACCCUUUUUGUAUUUAGCAAGAGCUCUAUAUUUGCAUCGCUUCAGCACACAAUUACAAGUUUAAACAAAAUAUGAUGAGGACAGGUUCUUGUAUCAAUAAAUUUGCCUUUUAUUUUGGCUGUGGCCAAGCUAGACACUCUUCAGAAGAUAUUUAUAAACAAACAACUAACAUUUUUUUUCCAUAAUUUAACUUUUUAAACAUAUAUUAAAGUUAUAUAAGUGGAAGCAUAUUUAUUCCUUAUCCUCCAAAAUAAACACUUCUAUCAAGGGUUUUUUAAAGUACUGUAUAAAAGCUAAUAGAAAACCAGAACUACUAUAUAAACAUCUCAUAUUUAAACUUCAGAUAUCCUUAAUUCCUUACGAAGAGGAACUGAAUUUAAAAAGCAAAACUAAACACGGAACACGCUUAAAGUUAAAAUGAGAACUUAAGAAAAUCUGAAGAAAAGCUUAGAAAGAGGCUAUUCAGACCCAACUUUUUUUCCUUUGUAAAUAUAAUACAUAGCAUACUAGGGAGAAGCUCAACGUUUCUUCAAAGAUACUGUAUGAGCUUUUGAUUUUAAAGUGAGGGUUUCUUUAAUUAUCACACCGUGUAUCAGAUUCCCACUUGGAAGUUUGAUGACUGUAACACAACUGACUGGCUGCCAUUUUCCUUCAGAAAGUACCCUGAUUUUUGAAAGGCUGGAUAUGAAAUAUUAUGCUGUUGUAAAGAGGAAUAACUGGUGAAAACUUAGGCAUCAGUAACUUAGGCGUCAGUUUGCAAGAACAUCUUCAUAUUUUUCUAUGCACACAUUUCUUAAAUGCAGUUAAAGCACACCUGGCAAGUCUUUAGGCUUUUCUCAUUUUGUUAAGUCAGGUUAAAUGCAGUAAGCAUUUGACUUCUCUUGCUUGAAAGAAAUCAAUUUAGUCUGAUCAGGAUUUCUAAGAAUUUAACUGAUAGUCACAGAUUAACAUGACUAAACUGAGAUCAAGUUUGCCUGGAAGAGCACAAAAAGGAUGUUCAGCAACAAUUUUAUAUUUUCAGCAAGAAACGAACCGAGAGGCUUGAAGAUAACAUUGUUUUGGGUUUUUUUUUGGUAGCUAAAAAACAGUCAUUGGUCCACUCUGAGCCUACUUCAACUUAACUGAAAGAAAAAAAACUAAACAAUUCUGUUAGGAGAAAACUAACAGUGGCACACUUGGACUGCAACAGAGAACAAUCUUUCCCAGUGUGUGCCUAAACGAGGGUGCUCAUCCUCAGAUUCUGAAGAGCUACACAGGCGCUUUAUUUUGCUAAAUGGUGGUAUGAGCAAGCAAUACUUUUUAACUUUGAGUGUAGGAUGCUGAGGAAAAAAAAAAAAAAAAAAAAAA